AGGCUGCAACUCGCCUACAUGAAGUCGGAGUUGCUAGUAAUCGCGGAUCAGAAUGCCGCGGUGAAUGCGUUCCCGGGUCUUGUACACACCGCCCGUCACACCAUGGAAGUUGGGGGCGCCCGAAGUUGCCUAAGAAAUAAGGUACCUAAGGCGAAACCAAUGACUGGGUGAAGUCGUAACAAGGUAUC
rnacentral:rRNA from 1 species